rnacentral:rRNA from 1 species
GAUGAACGCUGGCGGCGUGCCUAAUACAUGCAAGUCGAGCGAACGGACGAGAAGCUUGCUUCUCUGAUGUUAGCGGCGGGCGGGUGAGUAACACGUGGAUAACCUACCUAUAAGACUGGGAUAACUUCGGGAAACCGGAGCUAAUACCGGAUAAUAUUUUGAACCGCAUGGUUCAAAAGUGAAAGACGGUCUUGCUUUCACUUAUAGAUGGAUCCGCGCUGCAUUAGCUAGUUGGUAAGGUAACGGCUUACCAAGGCAACGAUGCAUAGCCGACCUGAGAGGGUGAUCGGCCACACUGGAACUGAGACACGGUCCAGACUCCUACGGGAGGCAGCAGUAGGGAAUCUUCCGCAAUGGGCGAAAGCCUGACGGAGCAACGCCGCGUGAGUGAUGAAGGUCUUCGGAUCGUAAAACUCUGUUAUUAGGGAAGAACAUAUGUGUAAGUAACUGUGCACAUCUUGACGGUACCUAAUCAGAAAGCCACGGCUAACUACGUG